rnacentral:rRNA from 1 species
AUACGGAGGAUCCAAGCGUUAUCCGGAAUCAUUGGGUUUAAAGGGUCCGUAGGCGGCCCUGUAAGUCAGUGGUGAAAUCUCCCCGCUCAACGGGGAAACGGCCAUUGAUACUGCAGGGCUUGAAUUACUGGGAAGCAACUAGAAUAUGUAGUGUAGCGGUGAAAUGCUUAGAUAUUACAUGGAAUACCAAUUGCGAAGGCAGGUUGCUACCAGUGGAUUGACGCUGAUGGACGAAAGCGUGGGUAGCGAACAGGAUUAGAUACCCCGGUAGUCCACGCCGUAAACGAUGGAUACUAGCUGUUCGGGGCAACCUGAGUGGCUAAGCGAAAGUGAUAAGUAUCCCACCUGGGGAGUACGUUCGCAAGAAUGAA